GGAAACACCUGCCUGCCACCAAUGCACGACGCCGCAAGCCCGCCCUUUGCCUGCGGAGUGCAGGUGCGCCCCGGCAAGCGGCAGUGGGGUCUCGCAGCCCGCCGGGCGGGUACGAGUUGUAGCUUAUUAGAGACACUGAAUCAUGUUGGGAAUGACUGUGAUCAACAUCCUGCUCCCUGCUGUGAUGCAAAUGCAUGGAAAUAUCUGAAAACUGGAACUUCUUCAGGAACUCCUGGAUAAAGUAGGAAGUAGCUGUAAGAAUAAUGCACUGAAUAAAGCAGUGGGUAAGGAUUUCUUCCUAGUCUGUCAGCACUUAACAGCCAGGAGAUGAAGAAAGGCAAAAGUGAGUUUUCAUUUUUGAGUGCCUGCAUUUCAUGCCCCUGGAAUUCACCAGCAGAUGGCAGCCAAACCUUGAGAGUGUUACUUGCCAGCUACACCUUACCCAAUGGAG